ACCCCACUGCUAUCGGGAUAGGACUAAGACAUGCUAGUCGUGCGCUUCCUAGCCAAUUUGGGAGCGCGGCACACAGCUCAGUAACACGUGGCUAAUCUGCCCUUGGGACAAGAACACCCCCGGGAAACUGGGGCUAAUUCUCGAUAGGUGAAGAACUCUGGAAUGAGUCUUUGCUUAAAAGAGGCUGGGGUUAUGCUCUCCAGUUUCGCCCAAGGAUGAGGCCGCGACCGAUCAGGUUGUUGGUGAGGUAAUGGCCCACCAAGCCUUUUACCGGUGCGGGCCGUGAGAGCGGGAGCCCGGAGAUGGGCACUGAGACAAGGGCCCAGGCCCUACGGGGCGCAGCAGUCGCGAAAACUUUGCAAUAAGCGAAAGCUUGACAGGGCUAUCCCGAGUGCCAUCCGCUGAGGAAGGCUUUACCCAGUCUAGAACGCUGGGGGAAUAAGGAGAGGGCAAGUCUGGUGUCAGCCGCCGCGGUAAUACCAGCUCUCCGAGUGGUGUGGAUGUUUAUUGGGCCUAAAGCAUCCGUAGCUGGCUAGGUUAGUCCCCUGUUAAAUCCACCGAAUUAAUCGUUGGAUUGCGGGGGAUACUGCUUGGCUAGGGGACGAGAGAGGCAGACGGUAUUUCCGGGGUAGGGGUGAAAUCCUAUAGUCCCGGGAAGACCACCAGUGGCGAAGGCUGUCUGCUGGAACGCGCCCGACGGUGAGGGAUGAAAGCUGGGGGAGCGAACCGGAUUAGAUACCCGGGUAGUCCCAGCUGUAAACGAUGCAGACUAGGUGUUUGGACGGCCACGUGCCGUUCUAGUGCCGCAGGGAAGCUGUUAAGUCUGCCGCCUGGGGAGUACGAUCGCAAGAUUGAAACUUAA
rnacentral:rRNA from 1 species